GAGGGUACAGCUCAGUGGUAGAGUGCUUGCUUAGCACGCACGAGGUCCUGGGUUCAAUUCCCGGUACCGCCA
rnacentral:tRNA from 1 species